rnacentral:rRNA from 1 species
GUGAGGAAUAUUGGUCAAUGGGCGGGAGCCUGAACCAGCCAAGUCGCGUGAAGGAAGAAGGAUCUAUGGUUCGUAAACUUCUUUUGCAGGGGAAUAAAGUGCGGGACGUGUCCUGUUUUGUAUGUACCCUGAGAAUAAGGAUCGGCUAACUCCGUGCCAGCAGCCGCGGUAAUACGGAGGAUCCGAGCGUUAUCCGGAUUUAUUGGGUUUAAAGGGUGCGUAGGUGGUUUGAUAAGUCAGCGGUGAAAGUUUGCAGCUUAACUGUAAAAAUGCCGUUGAAACUGUCGGACUUGAGUGUAAAUGAGGUAGGCGGAAUGUGUGGUGUAGCGGUGAAAUGCAUAGAUAUCACGCAGAACUCCGAUUGCGAAGGCAGCUUACUAAGCUACAACUGACACUGAAGCACGAAAGCGUGGGGAUCAAACAGGAUUAGAUACCCGGGUAGUCC